AGGGUGUAAACGCUGCAGACUUGGUGUUGGGAACCCUUCGGGGGUGCUCAGUGCCGGAGAGAAGUUGUUAAGUCUGCUACUUGGGGAGUACGUCCGCAAGGAUGAAACUUAAAGGAAUUGGCGGGGGAGCACCGCAACGGGAGGAGCGUGCGGUUUAAUUGGAUUCAACGCCGGACAUCUCACCGGAUAAGACAGCUGAAUGAUUGUCAAUCUGAAGGUUUUACAUGACUAGCUGAGAGGUGGUGCAUGGCGUCAGUGACU
rnacentral:rRNA from 1 species